rnacentral:lncRNA from 1 species
GUGACAGAGCAAGUUCUGGAGAUAAUUGGCCACCUCUUCUUUCUCAUGGCACCAGGCAAACUCAGAAACCAAGUGAACGAGUUAAUCCGAUGGUUAAUGACUUUGAUAUCUGCAAAAGUGAAGCCUUGCUACAUUUCUCAGAUGUUAUCGCUGAAGCCCUACAGAGAGAAGCAGGUUGGUGUAAGCUCCCUAAAGCUACUCUAUGCCCUGCAUCCGAUCACCUCCCUGCACCCUGUUAUCAACUCUGACAUGGGCCAGCUGUGGAAGAAGAUGAUCCCUCAGAUGUUGAACAUACUAGCUGGUGAGGGGUUGGCUGGGAGUGGGGAGGAAUGGAGCUGGGGCAGUGGGGCAGACUCCAGAAGAGAUGGAGUCUGA